rnacentral:rRNA from 1 species
UACGUAGGGCGCAAGCGUUGUCCGGAAUUAUUGGGCGUAAAGAGCUCGUAGGUGGUUUGUCGCGUCUGUCGUGAAAGCCCAUGGCUUAACUGUGGGUCUGCGGUGGAUACGGGCAGGCUGGAGGCAGGGUGAGGGGAGACGUGGAAUUCCUGGUGUAGCGGUGAAAUGCGCAGAUAUCAGGAGGAACACCGGUGGCGAAGGCGGGUCUCUGGGCCGAUAUUGACGCUGAGGAGCGAAAGCGUGGGGAGCGAACAGG